AUGGAGGAAUUAUUCUUGAAUAAAAGUGUCCAUUUAAAAGAAAUCCUUAUUCCAGAGAUUGCCCAACAGAUUGCCCUACAGAUUGCCCUACAGAUUGCCCUACAGAUUGCCCAACAGAUUGCCCUACAGAUUGCCCUAUUGUCCUACAGAUUGCCCAACAGAUUGCCCUACAGAUUGCCCUACAGAUUGCCCAACAGAUUGCCCUAUUGUCCUACAGAUUGCCCAACAGAUUGCCCUAUUGUCCUACAGAUUGCCCAACAGAUUGCCCUACAGAUUGCCCUACAGAUUGCCAACAGAUUGCCCUACAGAUUGCCAACAGAUUGCCCUACAGAUUGCCCAACAGAUUGUCCUACAGAUUGCCAACAGAUUGCCCUACAGAUUGCCAACAGAUUGUCCUACAGAUUGCCAACAGAUUGCCCAACAGAUUGCCCUAUUGUCCUACAGAUUGCCCAACAGAUUGCGCGGUGUACCCUCCAUGCUAACGUCUAACUGACAUCCAGAACAUUCCAAGUUGUUGUUGUUGUUGUUGUUGUUGUUGCUGUUGUUGUUUUUGUGUGUUUGGUUUUUUAAGAGUAUUUUUCUACAGCUUUUUGUAAGUCAUGCUUAUUACACAGGGCUGUUGGUGUGUGUGUGUGUGUGUGUGUGUGUGUGUGUGUGAACAUACACACGUAUGUUUGUAUGUGAUUUAACUCGUGUGCGUGAUGUCACUUCCCGAUUUAGCUGUUUUGUUAUCAUGAUGAAGAUGAAGAAGAUGAUGAUGAUGAUGAUGAAGAUGAUGAAGAGUGUUAAUUAUAUGGAUUUAAAUGCUUUAUGAACAGACUGUAGCCUCUAAUGUUUUGUGUAAACCGUGAAUAUUUGGUUUGUAUCACCUCGUAUCCCACAAAUAAAACUAUACACACUCUGUCUGUGUGUGUGUGUGUGUGUGUGUGUAUGUGUGUGUGUGUGUGUCUGUGAGUGUGUGUGUGUCUCUGUGUGUGUCUGUCUGUGUGUGUGUGUGUGUGUGUGUGUGUGUGUGUCUGUGUGUAUGUGUGUGUGUCUGUGUGUAUGUGUGUGUGUGUGUGUGUUUGUCUGUGUGUGUGUGUGUCUGUGUGUGUCUGUGUGUGUGUGUGUGUGUGUGUGUGUGUGUGUGUGCUGUAAUCUGUGUGUCACUGUUUGCUCUGUAAUAAUCUAAUAAUUUGACCUUUAACCCCGCUGACAUUUUAA
rnacentral:lncRNA from 15 species